rnacentral:rRNA from 1 species
CCCUUAGAUGUUCUGGGCCGCACGCGCGCUACACUGUUCGACGCAGCGAGUCUUAACCUUGACCGAAAGGUUUGGGUAAUCUUCAGCAAAGUCGAACGUGAUGUGGAUCGAUCAUUGCAAUUAUUGAUCGUGAACGAGGAAUUCCUAGUAAGUGCAAGUCAUCAGCUUGCGCUGAUUACGUCCCUGCCCUUUGUACACACCGCCCGUCGCUACUACCGAUUGAAUGGUUUAGUGAGAUCUCUGGAUUGACGCUGGCUAGGGGGCGACCCUUGGCCAGACUGUUGAGAAACUGCUCAAACUUGAUCAUUUAGAGGAAGUAAAAGUCGUAACA